rnacentral:rRNA from 1 species
AACGAACGCUGGCGGCAUGCCUAACACAUGCAAGUCGAACGAGAUCUUCGGGUCUAGUGGCGCACGGGUGCGUAACGCGUGGGAAUCUGCCCUUUGGUUCGGAAUAACAGUUGGAAACGACUGCUAAUACCGGAUGAUGACGAAAGUCCAAAGAUUUAUCGCCAGAGGAUGAGCCCGCGUAGGAUUAGCGAGUUGGUGGGGUAAAGGCGCACCAAGGCGACGAUCCUUAGCUGGUCUGAGAGGAUGAUCAGCCACACUGGGACUGAGACACGGCCCAGACUCCUACGGGAGGCAGCAGUGGGGAAUAUUGGACAAUGGGCGAAAGCCUGAUCCAGCAAUGCCGCGUGAGUGAUGAAGGCCUUAGGGUUGUAAAGCUCUUUUACCCGGGAUGAUAAUGACAGUACCGGGAGAAUAAGCUCCGGCUAACUCCGUGCCAGCCGCCGCCGUAA